CAGCAUGAUGAUAAACAGGAGAACCAGCACCGGACUGUACAGAAAAUGAUGAUGUGUAUGAACGCCCUGUGCUGUCAGGAA